GUGUUAAGCGCAUAUACUAAAAUUGGAAUGAUACAGAGAAGAUGAGCAUGGCCCCAUGUGCAAGGAUGACACUCAAAUAAAAAAAAAGUUAGUGUU
rnacentral:snRNA from 1 species